GUCCGCAAUUUGGUUUGUGUUUUGCACCCUACGCGACGAGUUGUUCGACGCGGCAUUCAGGAUUCCAUAGAAGAUUCGCACUCUAAGUGAUAUUUGAAGCACAAAAGCUCUAUUGACGCAAAUCGAACCAAGACUAGCUGCUGUUUCCUUUUUUUACUGAGUGAAACAUGCCGAUGCCCGUUAAGGAUCCCUGCAAACCUUGCGCUAGUCGCAUUGAAGCUUGCCUGCAGCACAACAAUUUCCAGGAGCAAAAGUGUCUGCAAGUGCUCGAGGAUGUGCGUCAGUGUUGCCUCAAGUGGCAAAAGGAAUCAUUUUGUUGCAAUGGCAUCGACUUAAAGAAAGCAUAUUUAAAAGAAAAUGAAGUUAAGAGUGUCUAAUAAAAAGCAUAUUUAAAAGAAAAUGAAGUUAAGAUUAUCAAAUAAAUAACAAACAUAAAUAAAUUCUUAUUCUAAGUGCAUCACAAAAUUGAGUUGA